rnacentral:rRNA from 1 species
AUUGAACGCUGGCGGAAUGCUUUACACAUGCAAGUCGAACGGUAGAGGGGGCAACCCCUCGAGAGUGGCGAACGGGUGAGUAAUAUAUCGGAACGUGCCCAGUCGUGGGGGAUAACGUAGCGAAAGUUACGCUAAUACCGCAUACGAUCUACGGAUGAAAGCGGGGGACUCGCAAGAGCCUCGCGCGAUUGGAGCGGCCGAUAUCAGAUUAGGUAGUUGGUGGGGUAAAGGCUCACCAAGCCAACGAUCUGUAGCUGGUCUGAGAGGACGACCAGCCACACUGGAACUGAGACACGGUCCAGACUCCUACGGGAGGCAGCAGUGGGGAAUAUUGCACAAUGGGGGAAACCCUGAUGCAGCCAUGCCGCGUGUGUGAAGAAGGCCUUCGGGUUGUAAAGCACUUUCAGCGAGGAGGAAACGGUCUGCCCUAAUACGGUGGGCUAAUGACGGUACCGUAAGAAUAAGCACCGGCUAACUACGUG